rnacentral:misc_RNA from 1 species
AAAAAAAUUGUUUUAUUUUUUUUUUUUGAAUUUCCUAUAUAAAUUUGAAUGGGAUUCUAGGUUUUUUAUUUUUAUUUUCAAAUUUUUUAUGCCUUAAUAGAUGUAAUUGUCCUGAAAUGGACUUCUCAAUUCUACAGCAUGGGUAUUUUUUUUGGGUUAUUUUUUUUUUUUGAAAUUUAUUUUUCUAAUAAUCGAACAGUGUGGAAAUUGCGUAAAUGUGCAAUUUUUUUUUAUUGAAAUGAUUUUGGUGUAACUUGAAGUUUAAACAUUUGGUUGGUUGCUUCUUUUCUUUUUUUAAUUUUUUGAAAAUGGGUUAUAAUAAUAAAAUUGGAUCUCAGAUGGAUGAAGAGGUCAGGAGCCAUGUGGGUAUAAUAUUAGCUUUUUUGUUCUUUUGAUUAUUUUAUUGAUGAACCAGUUGUCAGUUUAGCGUGAUUCUUUAGCUAAGCACGUUCUUAGUAUUUAGGUAAUUAUUAAUUAAUGUAUGUAUAUGAAUCUCUUAACUUUGUUUUUGCUUGUUUUGGUGGUGAAUGCUUAUGUAUAUCAGAUACAAUUUGGCUUCUUCAACUCGUUCUGUCUUUCCGGUCUAGAUUUGCUCAAAUUGUGUGGUUAGAAUACAGGUUUA